UACGUAGGUGGCAAGCGUUAUCCGGAAUUACUGGGCGUAAAGCGCACGCAGGCGGUCUUUUAAGUUUGAUGUGAAAGCUCCCGGCUUAACUGGGAGAGGUCGUUGAAGACUGGAAGACUUGAGGCAAUGAGAGGGGUGUAGAAUUCCCGGUGUAGUGGUGGAAUGCGUAGAUAUCGGGGGGAAUACCAGUGGCGAAAGCGGCACCCUAGCGUUAGCCUGACGCUCAUGUGCGAAAGCGUGGGGAGCGAACAGG
rnacentral:rRNA from 1 species